AGGACGAACGCUGGCGGCGUGCUUAACACAUGCAAGUCGAGCGGAAAGGCCCUUCGGGGUACUCGAGCGGCGAACGGGUGAGUAACACGUGAGCAAUCUGCCCUUAGCUCUGGGAUAGCUCCGGGAAAACCGGGAUUAAUACCAGAUAUGACCACGGCCGACAUCAGCUGUGGUGGAAAGAAUUUCGGCUAGGGAUGAGCUCGCGGCCUAUCAGCUUGUUGGUGGGGUAAAGCCUACCAAGGCGACGACGGGUAGCCGGCCUGAGAGGGCGACCGGCCACACUGGGACUGAGACACGGCCCAGACUCCUACGGGAGGCAGCAGUGGGGAAUAUUGCGCAAUGGGCGAAAGCCUGACGCAGCGACGCCGCGUGCGGGAUGAAGGCCUUCGGGUUGUAACCGCUUUCAGCAGGGACGAAGCGAAAGUGACGGUACCUGCAGAAGAAGCGCCGGCUAACUACGUGCCAGCAGCCGCGGUAA
rnacentral:rRNA from 1 species